rnacentral:rRNA from 1 species
AACGAACGCUGGCGGCGCGCCUAAUACAUGCAAGUCGAGCGAGAAGACGUAGCAAUACGUUUGUAAAGCGGCGAACGGGUGAGGAAUACAUGGGUAACCUACCCUCGAGUGGGGAAUAACUAGCCGAAAGGUUAGCUAAUACCGCGUACGCUCCUUGGACUUCGGUUCAGGGAGGAAAGCGAUACCGUGGGUAUCGCGCUCUUGGAUGGGCUCAUGUCCUAUCAGCUUGUUGGUGAGGUAACGGCUCACCAAGGCUUCGACGGGUAGCUGGCCUGAGAGGACGAUCAGCCACACUGGCACUGCGACACGGGCCAGACUCCUACGGGAGGCAGCAGUAAGGAAUAUUGGGCAAUGGAGGCAACUCUGACCCAGCCAUGCCGCGUGGAGGAUGAAGGUCCUCUGGAUUUGUAAACUUCUUUUAUAUGGGACGAAAAGGGCCUUUCCAGGUCAACUGACGGUACCACAUGAAUAAGCACCGCU